CCCGGGCCUUGUACACACCGCCCGUCACACCAUGGGAGUUGGUUUUACCCGAAGACGGUGCGCUAACCGCAAGGAGGCAGCCGGCCACGGUAAGGUCAGUGACUGGGGUG
rnacentral:rRNA from 1 species